rnacentral:rRNA from 1 species
GAUGAACGCUGGCGGCGUGCCUAAUACAUGCAAGUCGAGCGCAGCGGGGACGGGUGAGUAACAAGUUGAUAACCUCCUAUAAGACUGGGAUAACUUCGGGAAACCGGUGCUAAACCGGAUACUUCGAGAUGGCUCCUCGCUGCAUUAGCUAGUUGGUAAGUUAACGGCUAACCAAGGCCACGAUGCAUAGCCGACCUGAGAGGUUGAUCGGCCACACUGGAACUGAGACACGGUCCAGACUCCUACGGGAGGCAGCAUUAGGGAAUCUUCCGCAAUGGGCGAAAGCCUGACGGAGCAACGCCGCGUGAGUGAAGAAGGUCUUCGGAUCGUAAAACUCUGUUAUUAGGGAAGCGGUACCUAAUCAGAAAGCCACGGCUAACUACGUGCCAGCAGCCGCGGUAAUAC